UGAUAGGAAAGAUUCAGAACUCUCGUACUGG
rnacentral:piRNA from 1 species